rfam:Ruminococcus sp. CAG:403 genomic scaffold, scf81
ACCUUAUCAAGAGUGGCGGAGGAACAGGUCCUAUGAAGCCCGGCAACCUAAUUGCAGCAAUAUUGCCGCAAAGAAGGUGCUAAUUCCUGCGGGUAAUCCGAGAGAUGAGGC